AGGCCCUCCAGACGAAAUGCUCCAUGAAACCUAGUGGUCUGUGUUGACAGAGGAGCACGUAACAGGAAGCCCCUUCCUGGUACGAAAAUCAGCUAAACAUGAAAGCAAGUGGAAGCGGACCCUGGCUCCUUGCCUGCUUUUUGGGAGCCGCCUCCUUGCCUUGGAAAGUGUGUGUGUGUGGUGUGCAAGCCCAGAAAGCGCACACACCAUCCUGCAACUGAGCGCCUCCUCUAGAGUAAGAAACAGAACUUGCAUUCUUGCCUUGGAAACAGUGCGUGUGUGGUGUGCAGGCCCAGAAAGUGCACAAGCCUGUCUGCAGCCGAAUGCCUCUCCCUUAGAGUAGAGAAACAGACUGAGCAGAUAAUCCAACAGAUCGCCACCUGUAUAGAAAUCCGGCUGGACUCCUGGGUCUGAAAAAUCAAGAUCCAAACAAGAUGUUGAACAGAAACGAAUACAAUAGUCAUAAUAGAAAUUAAAUCAACACAAGAAAGAAAGAGCUAGAAAAGAAGCCAACUUAAUUCUCAAAGUCUUUUAAAGCAUUUGGACCUCACUAAUGCAUAUCUUCUAACUGUGUAGAACAAAUAUAUUAUGUUUCCUUCUCUGAGAGAGGUUGCAAUAAACACAUCCAUUCCAAUUAUGUUAUAUUUGGCUGAUGAUGAAGACAUACUAUGCAUCAGGUACCCUACUGUGGGCUGAGGUUAUGGAGCUUUGCUAACAACAGGGAUCUCAUGGAGGUGAAAUGGUAGAGUGUUUG